AUGCCACAACUAAACAAAUCAACAUGAAUUUUGUCUGUGCAGAUCUCAUAGGGCAGUAAUCAACUGGAGCAAAACCAAGAACAAAAGGAAACAAGGAGAGGGUUCCUACAGAUUAUGCCAUAUACAAAUAUACAUCAUUGCAGUGCUUGCCUCAAAGCUCCUUCAUUGGGAAAUCAAUGGCCUAACGGAAGCUCGUCCACCCCGGCAUAAAGCACUCGUCUAUAAACCUGAUUUCUGCGUUGUCGGUUGACGCACUGCACAUCAACAGAAGUUCUAAGUACAUGCCACAAUGGCUUCACAGAAGUUCUUGCAAAAUAUAAUCAAAAGUAGUGACCACAAUCGCAUUGUGUAAUUGCUCCUUGUCAAAGCACCCAAGAAUGCAACCAACAAGGUUCGAUAGCAAAAUAAAUGAGGAGAGACAUACCUCAACCUUGUAGUACAGACCCAUAGGAUAAACUGAUCCUAAGCUUGACUCCAAUCCUUCAAUAACAACUUUUUGGCAAUCAUCUAAAAUAUAUUUAGGCCGACUCAUCAACAAAAAAGCCUCUUGUUCUUCACUGUUGCACUCUGUUUCAGGAACUCAUGAUCAGUCUUUUUCCCUCCCAACAAUAAUUUUCUCCUUCUCAAAAGACUCAAGAGUGCAAGGAAUAAGGUCUUGCAGGGAAAAAAACAAGCGAAAAAAAUGCAUCUUGCUAUAGGUAAUGUUGAAGCCAAAUAAACAUAAUAGAAGCAUCCUUUACGAUCUAUGAGAACCAGUUUCAUUGGCACAAGAAAACUCGCCAUUCUGAGGCAGCUCCACAGUCUGGUAGAUUAGCCCAUCACU
rnacentral:lncRNA from 1 species